rnacentral:rRNA from 1 species
GAUGAACGCUAGCGGCAGGCUUAAUACAUGCAAGUCGAGGGGCAGCAUGAGUGUAGCAAUACAUUUGAUGGCGACCGGCAAACGGGUGCGGAACACGUACACAACCUUCCUUUAAGCGGGGAAUAGCCCGGGGAAACCCGGAUUAAUACCCCAUAGUAUGGUGAAGAGGCAUCUCUUUAUUAUUAAAGAUUUAUCACUUAAAGAUGGGUGUGCGGCUGAUUAGGUAGUUGGCGGGGUAACGGCCCACCAAGCCUACGAUCAGGAACUGGUGUGAGGGCAGGACCAGUCACACGGGCACUGGGACACGGGCCCGACUCCUACGGGAGGCAGCAGUAAGGAAUAUUGGUCAAUGGACGAAAGUCUGAACCAGCCAUGCCGCGUGGAGGAUGAAGGUCCUCUGGAUUGUAAACUUCUUUUAUAUGGGACGAAAAAAGGCCUUUCCAGGUCGUCUGACGGUACCAUAUGAAUAAGCACCGGCUAACUCCGUGCCAGCCGCCGCGGUAAAA